GAAAUGCGAUAAGUAAUGUGAAUUGCAGAAUUCAGUGAAUCAUCGAAUCUUUGAACGCACAUUGCGCCCCCUGGUAUUCCGGGGGGCAUGCCUGUUCGAGCGUCAUUUCACCACUCAAGCCUCGCUUGGUAUUGGGCGACGCGGUCCGCCGCGCGCCUCAAAUCGACCGGCUGGGUCUUUCGUCCCCUCAGCGUUGUGGAAACUAUUCGCUAAAGGGUGCCGCGGGAGGCCACGCCGUAAAACAACCCCAUUGCUAAGGUUGACCUCGGAUCAGGUAGGGAUACCCGCUGAACUUAAGC
rnacentral:misc_RNA from 1 species